rnacentral:rRNA from 1 species
UACAGAGGUCUCAAGCGUUUGUUCGGAUUCAUUGGGCGUAAAGGGUGCGUAGGCGGCGCGGUAAGUCGGGGUGUGAAAUCUCGGAGCUUAACUCCGAAACUGCAUUCGAUACUGCCGUGCUUGAGGACUGGAGAGGAGACUGGAAUUUACGGUGUAGCGGUGAAAUGCGUAGAUAUCGUAAGGAAGACCAGUGGCGAAGGCGGGGUCUCUGGACAGUUCCUGACGCUGAGGCACGAAGGCCAGGGGGAGCAAACGGG